GGGCGCAAGCUGAUCCAGCCAUGCCGCGUGGGUGAUGAAGGCCCUAGGGUUGUAAAGCCCUUUCGGCGGGGAAGAUAAUGACGGUACCCGCAGAAGAAGCCCCGGCUAACUUCGUGCCAGCAGCCGCGGUAAUACGAAGGGGGCUAGCGUUGCUCGGAAUCACUGGGCGUAAAGCGCACGUAGGCGGAUCCUUAAGUCGG
rnacentral:rRNA from 1 species